CGCGCGGCGCCUGCGGCGGCGAACGGACGGACGGACCGCGGACGGACGUACUGACCCCAACCCGCGAGCCCCGGGAGCCGUCGGUCUGAGGAGGGGCCGCUUCGCCAUGUCGCCCCGCACCUGCUGAGCCCGGAGCGUCCGAGGAUGUCCGCGCUGAGGAAGGUUUUGCCUGGCAUUCUGCAGAAGCAUUGCUGUAUCUUACCAGACAGGAAUACAGGCCGUCUCCAAACUAUAGUCCUAUUGGACUGGUGCACCAAAUAUGGAUUUGGGGUGUGCGUAAUUCAGUCCAUAGCACCCACCAAACCACAGAAGCUGCCCCGAGCUGAUGUCCCGCUAUCGGUGCGGCUGCAGGACACUGUCCCAUUGCUGCAUGGAGCCUCUCGCUGUCUGAGCCUCACCUGAAGCCGGCCCACACCAUUUUCUUACUCUAUGCAUUGGAGCGAAAAUGUUUAAUUGACUACGAUGGGUGAUUCCUAAAGUUAUAUUUGACUCAGAAAAAAAUGCAUUAGUAAAACUCCCUGUUUGAAUGUUUCUAGUAUUCACAGCCCGGGUCACUGUCUUUCUAUAACGAUUGGUAUCUGAAAUAAGAACAUGGGCUGCAACUUACAGCCUUGCUCUUUCUACUAUAUAAACUUCCCUAAUCAAAUAUUUUUCAUUAAAAAAAUGUGUUUUUGGAAAUAAACAGUUACAACCUGG
rnacentral:lncRNA from 10 species